rnacentral:rRNA from 1 species
GACGAACGCUGGCGGCGUGCUUAACACAUGCAAGUCGAACGGAAAGGCCCUGCGUUUGCGGGGUGCUCGAGUGGCGAACGGGUGAGUAACACGUGAGUAACCUGUCCUCGACUCUGGGAUAACUUCAGGAAACUGGGGCUCAUACCGGAUAGGAGCUCCUGCUGCAUGGCGGGGGUUGGAAAGUUUCGGCGGUUGGGGAUGGACUCGCGGCUUAUCAGCUCGUUGGUGGGGUAGUGGCUUACCAAGGCUUUGACGGGUAGCCGGCCUGAGAGGGUGACCGGCCACAUUGGGACUGAGAUACGGCCCAGACUCCUACGGGAGGCAGCAGUGGGGAAUAUUGCACAAUGGGCGGAAGCCUGAUGCAGCAACGCCGCGUGCGGGAUGACGGCCUUCGGGUUGUAAACCGCUUUUGCCUGUGACGAAGCGAAAGUGACGGUACUGGGUGAAGAAGCACCGGCUAACUACGUG